rnacentral:rRNA from 1 species
CAGCAGCCGCGGGAAUACGUAGGGUGCGAGCGUUAAUCGGAAUUACUGGGCGUAAAGCGUGCGCAGGCGGUUCGUUAAGACAGAUGUGAAAUCCCCGGGCUCAACCUGGGAAUGGCGCUUGUGACUGCAAAGCUAGAGUGCGGCAGAGGGGGAUGGAAUUCCGCGUGUAGCAGUGAAAUGCGUAGAUAUGCGGAGGAACACCGAUGGCGAAGGCAAUCCCCUGGGCCUGCACUGACGCUCAUGCACGAAAGCGUGGGGAGCAGACAGGAUUAGAUACCCCCGUAGUCCCUGUCUCUUAUAC